rnacentral:rRNA from 1 species
GAUGAACGCUGGCGGCGUGCCUAAUACAUGCAAGUCGAGCGAACAGACGAGGAGCUUGCUCCUCUGACGUUAGCGGCGGACGGGUGAGUAACACGUGGAUAACCUACCUAUAAGACUGGGAUAACUUCGGGAAACCGGAGCUAAUACCGGAUAAUAUAUUGAACCGCAUGGUUCAAUAGUGAAAGACGGUUUUGCUGUCACUUAUAGAUGGAUCCGCGCCGCAUUAGCUAGUUGGUAAGGUAACGGCUUACCAAGGCAACGAUGCGUAGCCGACCUGAGAGGGUGAUCGUCCACACUGGAACUGAGACACGGUCCAGACUCCUACAGGAGGCAGCAGUAGGGAAUCUUCCGCAAUGGGCGAAAGCCUGACGGAGCAACGCCGCGUGAGUGAUGAAGGUCUUCGGAUCGUAAAACUCUGUUAUUAGGGAAGAACAAAUGUGUAAGUAACUAUGCACGUCUUGACGGUACCUAAUCAGAAAGCCACGGCUAACUACGUG